CUUGCUUUCAGAGCCCCAGACCUCUAGGUAAGAAGUCUGACCACAUGAGGCCACCAUGCUAUAAGGAAGCCGAAGCCGCAUGGAGAGAUUGUGACUGCUUUGUGCUACGAAGGCAAAGACUGAAAUGUUUGCAGUCUGGCCCUUUACUGAAUAAAUUUGCUGCUCUCUGGUCUAGAUGUGUGUCUCCCCCCGAAUGAGCCUUGAAUCGCAUCGUGAGGGUCUCAGGAGUUCCCAGGCUCCAGGAAAGUGGGUGCAGAGGCAGGAAGAACAUUUGCCUCUCCAGGCUAUUAUUAUUGAUUGAUGUUUCACCUAGGGCAUCCUCAAAGGAAGUUUUUCCUUUUCAUCUCACUGGAGCUCAUAAGGACUUGGAUCGCCAAAUGAGGAUUCCAUCAUAUAUUCAAGAGCCAAGGGGGUGGUUCGUGAGGAUUCAUCCACAACCACGGCCCCGUGACCCCAGGGCUGAGACAAUGCUUGGCAGAACCAAGCAAAGCUACCUGACCCCACAGGAGCUUGCAAAAUUAACCUUGCAUUUCCUCAACAACAACCACCUCAAUACGCUUUGGUCUAGGAACUACUCAAGUGUUAUCAAAAUGUACACUAGUAGAACUCUCAAAGCCAUGGCUGUCCAGACAAUGGCUUGCUGGAGGGAGGUGAGGUUAGGGCUGUAAAAGAUCGGAGAGGCUUCUAACAACACAGUUUAUUUUCUCACCCUCCUGGCCAGACCCAGCUCCCCACACUGCCCUUACUUGUUUUAUUUACACCUUCUAUUACAAGCCCUACCUCUCAUCACUCCCAGUCCAGAUGAACUCCAAACUUCAUCACCAGAGGCAGAAACUACCAGAGUCCUAAAUGCAGCUGGAAAAACACUCUGGAGUUUUUGCAUCUGGUAGUGAAUAGCUCACCUCUUAAACAAACUUGGUCACUGGCAAGGAGACCCUUGUUCCAAAUCUGGCCCCUUGCCUAGACGCAUCCAGAGACAGGGUGUGGCUGGAGCGAGAUUAAGUUCUGUAAUGUAUUAGCAGUAGAGUUACAUUUAAUAAAAGCCAAAGAGCUUCCGAACACACAUGUUGGAGGAGAAAAGAAGCAAGUUAGAGCUCAGUAGCCAAGCAGAGACAGGGCAUGGGGUGAGCGUGGAGGGGUGAUACUUCUCUUUGGACCAGAGGUCCAAGGUCCUAAGGGUCAUGGAGGAAUCUUUGCUAGGACUAGGAGGCAAUGGCAAUCAGUAAAUUCAUUCCACAAAUAUUUUGUGUUGGCACUGUUCUAGACACUGGGGCUACAAAGAUAAGCACCAGAGAUGACUGAAUAUAAGCCAAGGGUGUUUUUCUGAAAAUCAACUCUCAGAAAAGACUAAUUUCAAGUAGUCUUACAUUGGAAUCUGUAGGCUCCUUGCUUGCUUGCUUCCUUCCUUCCUCCCCAUUCCACUCCUUUCAUUCCCCUC
ensembl:lncRNA